rnacentral:rRNA from 1 species
UACGAAGGGGGCGAGCGUUAUUCGGAAUCACUGGGCGUAAAGCGUGCGUAGGCGGUUUUGUAAGUUGGAAGUGAAAGCCCAGGGCUCAACCCUGGAAUUGCUUUCAAAACUAUGAGACUUGGAUUCGGGAGAGGAUAGCGGAAUUGUCAGUGUAGCAGUGAAAUGCGUAGAUAUUGACAGGAACACCAGUGGCGUAAGCGGCUAUCUGGACCGACAUCGACGCUGAGGCACGAAAGCGUGGGGAUCAAAC